AAUGGAAUUUUAAUCUAUGACAUUUUUAUAUAUCGCAACAUUCGUUGUCAAAAUGAAUAUACAACAAGCGUUUGUUUUAAAAUAAAUAAUUUUACUGUUGGUUUCAAUUACUUUGUGUGUAUGACAGGUGUAAAAAUAUUCAGGAACCCAUUUCUACAUGUAUGUGUGGUAGCUGAGGCGAUGAUGUCCAAGAGCCAGAACAGAUGAGUCCAAGAUUUUCCGCCGAAAGUACCAUCGAAGACGGGCUCUAGUCGGUGCUCUAGUAAAGUUUACUUGUCCUAGUUCCUGACAGAAAUGCGGACACUCUACAGCUAUCGAAAUGAGGACCUUCCUAUUGCAUAAUUAGACUGGGAUGAUGAUGUCCAAGAGCCAAAGGCAAUGGAAACUGAUGAAUUCAAGAUGUUCUGCCAAAAGUACCGCCAAGGACGUUGGAUUCCAGCUCUGUGACUGGGAUGAUGAUGUCCAAGAGCCAAAAGCAGUGGAAACAUGAAUCCAAGAUUUUCUGCCAAAAGUACCGCCGAGAACGUUGGAAUCCAGUAGGGGCUCUGGUAACGUUUACUUGUCCUAGUUCCUGGCACAAAUACUGAAACUCUUCUAGCUAUCAAGGAGUCCUAGAUUUUCCGUUGAUGAUAUCAUCGAAGACAUUGGAUUCCAGUCGAGGUCAUGGUAAUGUUUUGAUAUCAAAGUUCCUGACAUCCAAGACGGAAAUGCGGAAACUCUUUAGAACUACCUAAACAAGGACUUAAGCAAGGAAACUGACAACACAACCCUAAAUUAGAAAUAAAAGCAGUCACUUUAUAACCCACAUACUGGAUAGGUUCAUACUUAUCAAUACUGUAUACAGCAGUGUAGAAAACAAUUCACUGCCCCUGUAUGACAAUAUAUUAUUGUGUUU